AAGGAAUUUGGAGAAUGGGCUUGUGACCACUCACGGGCCAGAGUUUAAAACGGGUGAGAGCAGCACAUGCCCAGUGAUUCUCUCGGCAGCUCAUGGUGGUGGCGGCAGAAUUAGAAAGGGGAGGUCGGGAGAAAGAGGCAGGUCCUUAAAUUCACUGGGCAACCCCUGGAUGGUGCUUCUACACCCUCGGCGCGUACACAGACAUCUUAAAAUGCAGACUCUGAUUCGAGCCUGGGCGGGGCCCGAGAGCCUGCAUCGUUACCAAGCUCCUGGGAGGUACAGAUGCUACAGAUGCCGCUGGUCCGCAGACCACACCUGGAACACCAAAUCUUAGCGAAGGGCCCAUCCCUUAGGCUCUGGGCCACUGGUCAGGGUGUUGGCUGCAAAGUCUACGUGCAAUUCUUCACCACUCCCUCUGGCUCUGACUGUUGCGUGUGACUAGGGAACCCCUUCACACGAAGCCGCGGAGGCUACUCCCCAGCCCUCGGAUCCAGGCUGACCUUGUGACUUGCACUGGCAAUAACCACGAUGGCAAGAAGGAAAGGCCACUUCCAUAUCUAAGCCUCAUGCUUCUGCUCUCUCUCGAGAUUCUGCUACCGCCAAGCACACAGGCCUGGGUAGAUCCGGGAGGAUUGGAGACCAAGUAUGCAAAAGCCAUGAACAGGACGGUUUGCUGAGACUACCUGAUGGCAGAUCCAUGAGCAAACCCAGGAGAGACCAGAGAUGAAGAACCUUCCAGCUAAGCCCUGGACUCACUAGCAAUUGCAAAUGGUUCUUAUUUUAAUCUACUGAGUUUUAGGGUGGCAAUAGAUAAGUGUUUGAGGUAUAAUGUAAUAUAAAAAGAAAAAAAAUUAUAGGAUAUUAAAUUUCAAUGAAUAUGAAAUAAUUAGAAAAUAAUUAUGACAAAAAGGAAAAUGGUAUACAUGAAAAUAUAAUGAAUUCUUUUAGGAUAGCAGUCCUGUGGAAAUAAUAAUAUAUUUUUCUUUUCUUUCUACCCUUGUGCUUUUCCAAAUUUUCUCCCAUGAGUAUGCAUCACUAGCAUCAUGUUCGUUUAUUAUAAAAAUUGUUCAGUUAAAAAUAAUAAUAACUCAGGGGUCUCAUGUGUAUUUGGCAUCUGCCAGAUACUCUAGAAUCUAGACUAAGGAAAAGUAUAAGUGUCUUGAAAACUAUAAAAUAUCAGAGAACCCAUAAGGCGGUACAGUUUUUAUUAUGGUACAUAUUUUACAAAUCAUCAAAUGCUCUAGUAUGAUGAAGCUCUUUCUGCCAUAAAAUUGGUAGGGCUUUUAUAUUUGUUUCGAUUUGAGGUUAAGAAUGUAUUAACCCUAAAAAGCUAACAAAGUAACCACCUGAAAUUUUCAGCCAGCUUCCUUGCCACUAAUAUAUACAAGCGAUAAUGAACACAUCUCCCUGUACCGUGGGGCGACUUCUCACACUAAAUAAAGUUGAGCUUUCAUCUCAAA